rnacentral:rRNA from 1 species
CAGUCGCCGCGGUAAUACGUAGGGUGCAAGCGUUAAUCGGAAUUACUGGGCGUAAAGCGUGCGCAGGCGGUUAUAUAAGUCAGAUGUGAAAUCCCCGGGCUCAACCUGGGAACUGCAUUUGAGACUGUAUGGCUAGAGUGUGUCAGAGGGGGGUAGAAUUCCAGGUGUAGCGGUGAAAUGCGUAGAGAUCGGAAGGAACAUCUGUGGCGAAGGCGACUAUCUGGGCCAACACUGACACUGAGGCACGAAAGCGUGGGGAGCAAACAGGAUUAGAUACCCCUGUAGUCCCUGUCUCUUAUAC